ACCAAACACAGAGGUAGAGGGAGAAAAGGGGGCGGAGUUGCGAGGGUGAGCCGGAGGCGAGGGGAGGGCUCAGCCCUGCAGCGCGGGAGCCACGCCCUGAGGGGACAGAGCUGUGGCCCUGGGGACGCCAAGGCCGCAACUUCUGCAACCAACCUGAGGUAUAUACUGGGAAUACCAACUGUUGCCUUCAGGUCACUACCAAGUUGGGGAGUGGGAGAUGGUACCAGUUCCAGGUAAGAGGAAAUAAACACAUGGCCGCCUCUCUCCCUUACCGAGUAUACAACCUAGACAGUACACAGUGCAGCUACCUGAAGUCUCCGAACACCAUGACAGCUUAAAUACAGGGAGAGGGAUAAAGCUGGAGCCCAGGAAGAUGGGACAGAGGAGGAGCUGAGACCUGACCUUACAGAAUGUUUCAAGGGCACUGAAUGGGCCACGCUAUGGCAUCUGUGAUGAAAGAUGGGCACUGAGGAGGUAACCUCACUCGACUGCUCAGAGGCUGCAUGAAGAGGAACGUCCUUAGCAGUUAGAAGGGGUGAGUGGGGCAGGGAGGAGCUCAUGUUUCUUUACACAGCUUCUGCUAAACGCUUCAUAUGUGCUAUGCCAGGUAAGCCUCACUAAGCCUGGGACGUGGGGCGGGCCACCUAUUUUCCAGAAGAGCAAGCUGAGUCCCAGGGCCGUUAAACCUCUGUGUCAAAGGCCACAGUCGUGGUGAGUGACAGGGCUGAGGAAGCCUUCAAUAAACUUAUAUGCCUCCAUCAGAAUUGAUAUGAAUGAAACCCCCCAGAUUUCCUUCAUCCCUACACGUUUGAAUCCCAAACAGGCCAUGAACUUGAGAAGACAGAAGCCACCAGCAGUGUGAGGGAGGUGUAGAAAUCAAAAUAUUUCACUGUUCAGUGGUUUGCUGAACACAAGACACUCCACCCCAUGUCAUGAGACAUGAAAGAACAGGGGCUGGGGCCCUUGGUACCUUCACAGGUCUCCCUGAGGAGCUCGUCUCUGGCUGACAAAGAUAGGGGGCGGGUUUUCCACACGUCUCAUCUGGUCUCCUUGUCUCUGAGGAGGGCGCUGCCGUCAAGGAUGGAUUGGCCACAGUUCAGCCCAGGCCAGGGCGGCUGUCACAGCUGGGUGAAUUCAUGGCACUCUCGGUGGUUCCCAGACCUGCACGCCUCUCUUAGCAGAGCAAGUGACUAAGAGGAAGAGAUUUGCUUUGAGUCCCAACUAAGAAUGGAUUAAGACAGACCACUCUUUCUGAGGAAGGGGAAGCCAGAGGAACAAACCCCAGCUUUCGGGUUGAGGGGGGAUGCGGUUCUGUGGGCCCGUAGGGGAGGACAUGCGGAACGCCCCUAUGGGCAUGGGCAGGGGGCCACAGAAACUCUCAGAGGCUCAAAUCCAGGGGCUUGCUCGGCUCUUCAUGGGUGAGGGGCGUGGUCUCAGGACCCCAAUUGGCAAUGGAGAAAGAUCUAGCUCAGGGGCUGUGUAUUUAUAAGCUGCGAAUUACUGAGUAAUUAAAUACAUAACACAUAGAACCGGGGAGUAGACGUGCUAACAGCCUCCCUUAUGUUAAUUGUAUGUGUCACUGAGCACAUCAGCAUCAACUGCUUCAUAUUCGUGAUAAUAGUUAGUGUGUAGGGUUCUAGAACCUCUAGACUGGCACAGUCAAAACCUCAGAGGCCAUCCAGCUUGGUCUCCCAUAUCUGAUAUUAGA